rnacentral:tRNA from 1 species
GGCGCCGUGGCCAAGUGGCUAAGGCAGUGGAUUGCAAAUCCAUUAUCCCCGGUUCGAAUCCGGGCGGCGCCU